GUCGAUGGAGUCCAAACAGAUGGAGCAGGACUGAGGGAGGCUGAUGUCUGAGGCCACGCAUAGAGACUGAGACGGUCCAUGAUCCCGACAGGGAAGUGAACCUUCUUCCUGCAGCUCCUGACGUUACAUCCGACACACGCUCCCUUCCUCUUACAGCCGUGACACUUCUGAUCACACACAGCAGCAAGCAAUGAUUACUCUCCUCAGCUUUGACAAAACAGCAAACAAACAACAUCCAUCUGUUUUAUUCUUGACUGAUGAUACUGUUUAACACUGUUGUUUUUUAUUGAGAGGCAGUACAGACAGACGAGGUAAAAUAAGACUCACCAGUCGAGCCGACCGGCGGAUCUCCUGUUUUAUGUCGUCCACCAGGAACCCAAAGAUGCCCUCCUCCUCUUCACCACGCUGGAAUAAAACUUCUCCAUCAGGAUCCUCCAGAUGCUGCAGGUGAACAUAAAACUGUAUCUGGACCUCCAUUAACCAAAGAUCACACAGAAAAAGGUUUGCAGUGGCUCAGAAAUACAUGAAGACUCAUCUUCAUACAGUUUUCUUCUCUGAUGAAUCCCAGGCUGCACUGGAUGGACCAGACGGAUGGAGGUUCGAAUGGUCCAGAUGGAUGGAAGUCUGAGUGGAGUGGUGUUCUGGGCUGGAAUAAUGGGGAGUGAGAUGGUAGGACCCUGUCUGGAGGUCUUUGAUAAAGUGGUCCAGUUUCUACCUGAGCAUUUCCUGCCUUGGUCUAAAAGGAAGAAGCAUUUCUUCUGCAGUAAAGAUGACGCUCCAUCCCAUGGUGCAGGAACACCAGCAGGAUGUCUGGCUGCUGGGGAAUAAAGGGAAAGAACUCAUGGUGGCACCACCAUCAUCCCCUGACCUCAACCCUACUGAGAACCUGUGGAGCAAUCAUAAAAGGAAGGGGCAGUAGACCUCCAAACAGAAACUUUGGGAGGUGAUUCUAGUCUCUUCAAUGAAAUCCAGAAAGAAACUCUCCAUGGACUUCCAGGUUCAGUGAUAAGAGAUAUCAGAGAAGGCUUCCAUGUUCACCAAUGCACCACAUCAUGAUUAAUAGCAUCAGUGUUAGUAUUCAUCACAGUUCCAGCUCAGUUCAGAGUUUCAUCGUGUUCAGAUUUAAAUCAGUGUUUUCUACUGCUCCAAACUAGAGUCAUCUUCACUUAGAAACCUGAAUGCUUUACACAGCAAAAACACCAGAAUAUGACUGAUGCUCCGCAGAGACGACUGUCACCUUGGUUUAUGAGAGAAAACAGGGAGGGGCUCUGCAGAUUAACACACCCUGUGAGACGCCCCUGAUAAUGUGAAGAAAAAAUUGCAGUGCAAGACAGACGAGUCCUGGUCCAGCUUUUACCUGAGAGGCCGAACAGUCAGAUUACUUCAUAAAAGGCUCAGAGCUUCUACACCACCCCACCCUGGUCGGCCUAUCCAGAGAACCUCAACAACCUCAGAAGCCUCAGGAGCCUUCAGCACGUCCAGUCACACCUCAUCCAUAGGGACUCGUUAAAUUUGACAACUUUUAUUUUUUUUAUUGUUAUAAUAUUGCUAUUAAUUGUAAAGUUUAUGUUCUUCAUUAUUUUUCUGUUAGAUUUUUAUUUUCAUGCAUUUUAACACUUUGUGUCACUCCCCAAACGUCUUUACAUUAAACUAGAAUGAGACAAGCUCAAAUUAGACAAUUAAACUUUCCAUUUUUGUGGCAGAUGUGAACAGAAAGUAUUUCAUUAGUGGUCAUGUGGACUUACCAAACAGAAGUAGUGGACUGAGAGUUUGUGCUCUUUGAGGGUCACCUUCUCCCCGUACAUGGCAGGGUCAUCGUCACUGAACCUGCACAGAGCGCAGCCUGGACACACACAAACAUCUUUAUUCUCCUCCACGUCUCAUCACUGCUCAUACAUCACCAUUCAAGCUCUUGGAUCACAUAAAUAAAGAAAUCAGCCCCAUCUGUGGCAGCUGGAUUUACUUGUUUGUUAGUAAACCCAUCAGCUGUAAGCCAGCAGACUGCUCCACUGAUAGACAACGAGUCUUCUCCCACAGUGAUGUGGUGUACAGCUGUGUGAUGUCACGUCUGUUAGACGAGUCUGUUGUGUAAAAUCCUGCGGUUUGGCAAUAAAGCUAGUUGGGCAUACAAUCGUGGUCCAUGUAUUUUCUAGACACGGCAAAGGUGACAAAGAUGGAGCAUCCAUUCUCACCUGUGGUCUGUUCCUUGACCCGCAUCUUCUGCACACACAGCUCUGCACAGACAUACGCGUAUUGUCACAUUACCAGCCGGACAUUUAGCAUUAUGGUCCGGCGCAUCAUCUUCCAUCAUGGACUGAGCCCACUCCACUCAAACGCAGACGCCGUCCUUCACCUGCCUGAGCCUUCUUGCUCUACCCAACUGUCGUCAUUCUUGGGGAUGACUGCCUUCUACCCACGUCUCCUUCCACAUUAUUCUGGAACCACUGCACCACUGCAUGGCCUCCUCAAGCAGGAUGUGCCCUGGUCUUGGACUCCCACAUGCUCUGUGGCAGUUCGCAAGCUCAAAUCCCAGCUCACCUCCCACCAGUACUCGCCAUUCAUUUAACGUUUAAUCAUUUAAUCAUUUAAUGAGGCAACGUCAUGAGGUUGUUUUCUGUUGCCUCCAUGUAGAACCAACUUAAAACAGAAGACGAUGAAUUACAGAGCAAUGGUGGCAUGGCGUAAUUACCAGACUUUUUGGUUUUAGAAAAUGACAUGGUAAGCUUUAAAGUAAGUUGAAAUGACUUCUGUUUAUUCGGCAGGAAUAAUAUUGUCUGUUUAGAAGUAAUUUAAUGACUUUUUUACAUUGUUCUGAGUGGUGAGAUCAUGUAAUUCCUUAGUUUGCAAAGGAAAUGUCGUUACAAUGCCAUUGUUGGCUUUCUGAGUUACAGUGGUUAGUUUUGUACUUUGAGCAAGUGUCUUUGUGUUUGAUGUGU